UACGUAGGGGGCUAGCGUUGUCCGGAAUCAUUGGGCGUAAAGCGCGCGUAGGCGGCCCGGUAAGUCCGCUGUGAAAGUCAAAGGCUCAACCUUUGAAUGUCAGCGGAUACUGCCGGGCUAGAGUCCGGAAGAGGCGAGUGGAACUCCUGGUGUAGCGGUGGAAUGCGCAGAUAUCAGGAAGAACACCACAGGCGAAGGCAGCUCGCUGGGACGGAACUGACGCUAAGGCGCGAAAGCGUGGGGAGCGAACAGG
rnacentral:rRNA from 1 species